GAUCAAAGUGUAGUAUCUGUUCUUAUCAGCUUAAUAUCUGAUACGGUCCCCAUUGGGGGCCCAGAAUAUUAAACUGAUUUUUGGAAUCAGGCGGGGUGUUUAGGGGCUUGCUCCACCCCCGCCACUGGUUGGC
rnacentral:snRNA from 1 species